AAGAAAUAUACAUAUAAAAUCAACCAAGAAAUGACGCAUUAAUCUUAUUAUAAAUUGUUACAAAUCAAAUCAGAAAAACUCCAGAAGAACUCCAUCACCGUUCUUCAAGUCGCCCCGAUACAGAUUUCAAAAUAUAAGAUUUCAAAGUAUAAGGUAUGUAAUAUAAUAUGCAUGCUUUAUUGAUUUUAAUAAAUUAUUUCAUAUUUUAAUUCAUGCUUAAUUCAUAUUUUAAUUCAUGAUUUUAAUUCAUGUUUAUUUUUUAUGCAGAUUUCAAAAAGGUAUGCUUUAUUGAUUUUAAUUAAUUAUUUCAUAUUUUAAUCUCUUACUUGAUUUUAAUAUCUAAUUGCAUAUUUCAAAAUAUAAGACAUAACAUAAAUUUGUGUUAUUGGAAGUAUGAAUUGAAAAAUACAUGACUUGCAUCGGAUUUUAUGCAGAUUUUAAUUUUGGUUUUAAGUUCAUAACGAGAUACAAUAACCAACGAGUUACGGAUUUUAUUUUUGUUUUAAGUUCGAAGUUGAUUUGGUUGUUAAGUUCGUCAAGGCAUACAAUAAACCGACAUAAGGGUGACGGAGUAUCAUUAUACACCCUUUAUGCAUUUAUUUCCUAGCGGUGUACGACGAUAUGAUGUACGAGCUCGAUUGAUUCGUAAUUAAUUAUGAUAUUUUCAAUUA